AUUGAACGCUGGCGGCAGGCUUAACACAUGCAAGUCGAGCGGGGAAGGGUAGCUUGCUACCUAACCUAGCGGCGGACGGGUGAGUAAUGCUUAGGAAUCUGCCAUUUAGUGGGGGACAACAUUCCGAAAGGAAUGCUAAUACCGCAUACGUCCUACGGGAGAAAGCAGGGGAUCUUCGGACCUUGCGCUAAAUGAUGAGCCUAAGUCGGAUUAGCUAGUUGGUGGGGUAAAGGCCUACCAAGGCGACGAUCUGUAGCGGGUCUGAGAGGAUGAUCCGCCACACUGGGACUGAGACACGGCCCAGAAUCCUACGGGAGGCAGCAGUGGGGAAUAUCGGACAAUGGGCGGAAGCCUGAUCCAGCCAUGCCGCGUGUGUGAAGAAGGCCUUUUGGUUGUAAAGCACUUUAAGCGAGGAGGAGGCUACUAGUACUAAUACUACUGGAUAGUGGACGUUACUCGCAGAAUAAGCACCGGCUAACUCUGUGCCAGCAGCCGCCGCCGUA
rnacentral:rRNA from 1 species